UGUCAUCCUAAGUCAAACACAAGGAGUUCUGUUGCCUCUUGAGUCUUUUAGCAGCUCUCCAGCAUUUAAGAAGCAGCACGCCCUCAGGUGCUGGGGCUCCCACCACCUUCCUGUUCUGUGAUGCAACACAUCUGCUGGGACCUUGGAAAAACAGGGAAAUGAUUACAAUACUGCCAUAGUCUGCUCCAGAGAGUGAGGUAGGCAGUGUGAGAAAUGUUAAGGAAGAGACAUCAUGGGUCACUGGAGAAAUUCCUGUAACAGGAUUUUGUGACGUGAGGAAGUAUAUACCCAUCAUCUGCCAUGCAUAACAAAAAUGGGAAGAUAAAAUUAACUAGUAAGACAUUGCUUUAUUCUCUCCUCUAUUUUUAAUAAUUUUUAAAUUGUCAUCCCAGGCUCUUCUGGCUUACACAUCAUAAAUUGUUAAAUAAAAUGAAGAAUAGCGUUAAUGUACA
rnacentral:lncRNA from 1 species